rnacentral:rRNA from 1 species
AAACCAGCACCUCAAGUGGUCAGGAGGUUUAUUGGGCCUAAAGCAUCCGUAGCCUGAUCUAUAAGUUUCCGGUUAAAUCCAUUAGCUCAACUGAUGGGCCGCCGGAAAAACUGCAAAGCUAGGGAGUGGGAGAGGUAGACGGUACUCGGUAGGAAGGGGUAAAAUCCUUUGAUCUAUUGAUGACCACCAGUGGCGAAGGCGGUCUACCAGAACACGUUCGACGGUGAGGGAUGAAGGCUGGGGGAGCAAACAGGAUUAGAAACCCCAGUAGUCC